AGUAGACGGCCCCAGCGCGCCUGCGCGGAGCGGCCCUGCGCGCAGUGAGGCAGUGGCGAGGGAAGGCACCGGUGGGGCAGGCGAGCGAAGUCCCAGUGCGCGCCGCGGCGGCCGGGGUACCCUCCCCUUCCGGGCGUGAGGCGCUGCGAGGAGAGCCGAGCCGAGCGGACUCGCACCGGCAGUGAGGCACCGCUUGCGUCUCCUCAGCCCGGCCUCUCCAGGGCUUCGGCGCUCCCGUCGCGGGGGCCCGUGUUCCUCAGCACACCCAGCGCCAGCAGCCCCCGGAGCCUGUCCUCAGCCCUUCGGAAGCCCCGGCGCCAGCCCGGGCCCUUGGCGUGGAGGAUGACGGAGCUGCAGUCGGCGCUGCUACUGCGAAGACAGCUGGCAGAACUCAACAAAAAUCCAGUGGAAGGCUUUUCGGCAGGUUUAAUAGAUGACAAUGAUCUUUACCGAUGGGAAGUCCUUAUCAUUGGACCUCCAGAUACACUUUAUGAAGGUGGUGUUUUUAAGGCUCAUCUCACUUUUCCAAAAGAUUAUCCCCUUCGACCUCCUAAAAUGAAAUUCAUUACAGAAAUCUGGCACCCAAAUGUUGAUAAAAAUGGUGAUGUGUGCAUUUCUAUUCUUCAUGAGCCUGGGGAAGAUAAGUAUGGUUAUGAAAAGCCGGAGGAACGCUGGCUUCCCAUCCACACUGUGGAAACCAUCAUGAUUAGUGUCAUUUCUAUGCUGGCAGACCCUAAUGGAGACUCACCUGCUAAUGUUGAUGCAGCGAAAGAAUGGAGGGAAGACAGAAAUGGGGAAUUCAAAAGGAAAGUUGCCCGCUGUGUAAGAAAAAGCCAAGAGACUGCUUUUGAGUGACAUUUAUUCAAUAGCUAUAACUUCACUUAUUUCAGGGUAUUUUAAAUCACUAACUUUUCAGCAUCUUUCUUAGCAGGUCUCCAAUUGAGAAAUGUGGCACUGUUUUUCCUGCACUCUACCCACCUAUUGCUGGACUUCUGUUGUAACAAGUUGGCAAACACUGGCUGGAACUGGGCUGCAAUAAAACAUGCCAGUAUCAAUGCUGACAAGAGCCUAACAAGUGCCAACUUACAGAUGAUUACGCAUUUUGAAUUCUAAUGAACUGUUUUAACCUUCAGGAAGAAUUGUAAAGACCUGUACAUAGCACAACAUGAUCCGGAUAAUAUAUAUACUGUUCAUGUACAUCCACAAAUACAUCUUGUACCAAAUAAUGCUUUCUUGUAGUAGAAUAAGAAUCGUGUAAAUUCUAAAAGAUUUUAGCAGGGUUUCUUUACCUAUUCAUUGUUUCUUAUCAGUUUUAAAAGACUCCUUUAAAGCAUGUCAGAUGAAAAGCAAUUAGGAUUAAAAGUUUCCAUUUAAUUUCCUUUAAACCAUUGAGAUUUCAUUAAAAUCUUUUCACUUACUAAACUUUUGUAUCUUCUUUGUUUUGACACACUCCCCUUUGCUUUUCUCUCUUCUAUCUGCCAGAAUGUUUUCCAAUCAUUUAGUUCAAAUAUUGAAAUACUUAAUAAGCAACUACUUGAUUUUUAAUGAUGACCUCAGUGUGGUCAUCACUAGGUGCUUUGUCCUUUUUGUAUUCUAGCGCAACCUGUGUCUUGGAUUGGAUGUAGCAAUAAUAUUUUUUGGCUAAUAAGAGCUCUUGAACUCAGUGAUUACUUCCAAGAACUUAAAACGCUGAUCCUGAAUUCAGGUUAUUGAAAAAUUUCCCAAACAGUGCAAGAUUCUAUCUGAUUUGUUUCAUUUUUUUGCCCGAUUUUGCAGUUACCUACUGUUAAGGUUGGAUGCUAAAGCAUGCACAGAUACAGGCUUUUUAUUUCUGGGUUUGCUAUUAAAAGUGCUGUUUAUCCUCAUAUCCUUUUCCUUUGUCCUUUAUAUUUCUUUGCCUUUAUUCCUUCUACUGCAGAUUUUUCUCACCUAUUGUACAAAGAGAUUGCGAUGUAUAUUUUCAUGUAAUUUGAUUUUGGAAUUCUGUCACCUUAUGUAGUGAGUUCUUCCAAAAUACAAUUUUUUUUCCAAUAAUUGUCAAGUUGUUGGCUUUUAUUGUAUCAAAUGAAGGUUAUGUUAUUGAAUGCUAGAGAAGUGCAGUUGAGAAAAAUCUCAGGUUGAUUCCUUAUGCAAACUUAAUACUUGAAAAAUCACAUGGCCAUGGCAGUGUAUGAUAGAUUUUUUUCAAUGACUUUCAAAGGAAUUACAGAGGUAUAAUAAAUGUCUUGCUAUUUGACAUACAGAUUCUGAUGCUAAUGUAGUAGGUAUAUUUGAACGUAAGUAUAUUUCAUAUCAUGCAGUUUUAUGAAACAACUUCAAAAUAUGGUGAAAUGAGCAUGUGCAGAGUUAAGUCAGAUCCAGGUUCUGUUUGGUGUGAGGCUGAAAUUAGGAUGUAAUCUAUGAUACAUGAGGGAUAGAAGCCAUAGACAGUACUAGAUGGGACAUGAUGUUUAAUUAUGAGAAUUGGUACAUCUCUGCCCUGUGGGAGUUGGAGAAAUGCUUUGGCAGAAGAAUUCUGCCAUAACCCAGUCCUCUACAAAUAAUUGCAUGUUCUUUUUUUUUUUUUGCUUUUUUUGGGUCACACCUGGCGAUGCACAGGGGUCACUCCUGGCUCUGUACUCAGGAAUUACCCCUGGCUGUGCUCAGGGGACCAUAUGGGAUGCUGGGAUUUGAACCCGGGUCAGCUGCGUGCAAGGCAAACGCCCUACCCGCUGUGCUAUCUCUCCAGCCCCCAGCAUGUUCUUUUUUUUAAUCAAAAGUAAAAUGCUUGAAGAUGUAGUAAUGGUAGAUUGGUUUUUGUAAAUGCCAGUUUGUUCUGUAGUGUAAAGUAUUACAAAAAGCCAUAACUGUGUGAUGACUCAUGAAAAUGUUUUGUUUUAAUUGAAGCCCAAUUUUCUUCAAGAACUUUAAAACUUUUUUCCUGAUACUAAAAUUUUUGCAUCAAAAUGCCAGUCCUGCACUCUUACCUGGAACUUUGAAUACAAUCCCUUUUACAUAAGAAAUUGUUCAUACAGUGGUUACUUGUGGCAAACUGGAGUCAGAAUUUGGCUCUCCUUAUGACAUAACUCUGCUGUGCAAACUGUUAAUUAAAUCCUGGGAUUUGACUUUUCAGGGAAUAGCAAAGGACCUUGUAGCUCAGGGUCAACUGUUUGAACUCUUAAGUGCCACUUUUAUGCAGUUAUUUUGGGAUAACUAUGGGUUAUUUCUUAGAGCUAGAUCUACAAGAAAGGAGAAGAGUGAGUAUACUUAUUUUCACACUUUUUUUCCACCUAGUGCCCUGAUGUGCUACAGAAUCACCCGCCUAGGUAGUGAACUUCUUUUUCUGUCAGAGGUAUCAUCUGUGCCUUUAAAUGUUCAUCUGACAGUUUCAGUGCCUUUACAUUUAAGAUAAAACCCACAUUCAGGUGACACCAAUCCAGGUGGCUUUUAUCUGACCAGUGCUUCAUUAGAGUGAGGCAAGUCCUCUGCUUUAGGAAAAUAUCCCUCCAACCCCAUCCCCCCCAAGCUUGUGCCAAUUAUGAACUUAGGAAUUGUGGAAGUGUUGACUGUUUCCUAAAUUGAUUCCAAGUUCUUGUAAAGACUUAGAGAUUUCAAUUUGCCCAUAAGAAGGUGCAAAAUCUCAAAAAUCUCAGUGGCUUUUUUUGGGGGGGUCACACCCAGUGAUGCUCAGGGGUUACUCCUGGCUCUGCACUCAGGAAUUACUCCUAGCAGUGCUCAGGGGACCACAUAGGAUGCUGGAAUCGAGCCCAGGUUGGCUGCAUCAAGGCAAACGCCUUACCUGCUGUGCUAUGGUUAUGGCCCUUCUCAGUGGCUUUCUGGCCUCUUUGUGAUUUUAAAAUCCAUAUGAAGUUGGUUUCCUUGUCAUUAUAUCUUUGUGAUAUUAUUUCACUAAUCACUUGGGUGUUACAGUAUCUUUAAUGGCCUUCAUUCUCAGUUGUGAAUAUUAUUUUAUAUGCUCAUUCAUCCUCUACAAAUCUGCCCAUUUGGGAUUCUGGUGCCUGUGUAUCUUUGCCUGUCUGGUCUCCAGUUGGUGGAAUUACCUUUUUGUACUGCCACUUCUCAGCAUCUUUGAAAUUUGACAUAUUGUUGCUUCAUUCCAGUUUUUUUUUUUUAGUUCUGUAAUUUGUUGAUUGUAUUUAACUAUGUUGAGUUUUGUUGUGAUGUUUACUGUAUUGUAAAGCACCUUGAUCAUGUGGUGGGUGCUCUAUAAAUCAAUAAAUGAUGACUUAGAGGCUG